rnacentral:rRNA from 1 species
UGUACACACCGCCCGUCAAACCAUGAGAGUUGGUAAUACCCGAAGCCGGUGGUCUAACCAGUUUACUGGAGGAAGCCGUCGAAGGUAGGACUGAUGAUUAGGGUUAAGUCGUAACAAGGUAUCCGUACCGGAAGGUGCGGAUGGAUCACCUCCUU